rnacentral:rRNA from 1 species
UACAGAGGAUGCAAGCGUUAUCCGGAAUGAUUGGGCGUAAAGCGUCUGUAGGUGGCUUUUUAAGUCCGCCGUCAAAUCCCAGGGCUCAACUCUGGACAGGCGGUGGAAACUACCAAGCUGGAGUACGGUAGGGGCAGAGGGAAUUCCCGGUGUAGCGGUGAAAUGCGCAGAUAUCGGGAGGAACACCGGUGGCGAAGGCGGUCUCUGGGCCGUGACCUGACGCUGAGAGCGAAGCGUGGGGAGCGAACAGGAUUGAGAU